AGUGCCUGGCCUGCUCUCGUCCAUGGUGUCACAAAGAGUCGGACAGGACUAAACAACAACAAAGUCCUGUCUAGUCAGAGGCGGGUCCCUCAGGGCAAAACACUGCCUACACAGGAGUAAACCCCUCCAAGGAAAUCCUGUGUUAAGCCCCACUGAGUUCAGCAGAAGCUUACUCCCAGGGAAAGAACCUGUACCACACCAGCUUGCCUGUUGGAUACCCCCUGCGUGAUUGCUUCAGAACCCUGUUGCUUGCAGAUAAUUGUGGGAAAGAUUCUAGCUUGCCGCCUCUGUUCCUAAGGUGACAGUUCUGGUGAGUAAUCUGCCUUUCAGCUAGCACCAAGUUUGUAAUCCGAGAGACAGAACCAGGCCCCAGCAAGGCCAGGCUAAAUACAGCAGAAGACAAGCCCAGGUAGAGAAGGCAAAGGUGGGUCAGCACCCUGGAUAGCUUCCAGUGACACCUUGGCUGGAAGUCGCA